rnacentral:rRNA from 1 species
UACGAAGGGGGCUAGCGUUGUUCGGAUUUACUGGGCGUAAAGCGCACGUAGGCGGGUUGUUAAGUCAGGGUGGAAAUCCUGGAGCUCAACUCCAGAACUGCCUUUGAUACUGGCAACCUAGAGGCUGGAAGAGGUUAGUGGAAUUCCCAGUGUAGAGGUGAAAUUCGUAGAUAUUGGGAAGAACACCAGUGGCGAAGGCGGCUAACUGGUCCAGAUCUGACGCUGAGGUGCGAAAGCGUGGGGAGCAAACAGG